rnacentral:rRNA from 1 species
GACGAACGCUGGCGGCGUGCCUAAUACAUGCAAGUCGAGCGGGGGUGGCGAGGUAGCUUGCUAUUGAGCCAUCCUAGCGGCGGACGGGUGAGUAACGCGUGGGCAACCUGCCCUGUAGGCCGGGAUAACAGGUCGAAAGGCCUGCUAAUACCGGAUGAGCUCGCGGGGUCGCAUGGCCUUGUGAGGAAAGGGGUGACCCGCUACAGGAUGGGCCCGCGUCCCAUUAGCUAGUUGGUGAGGUAACGGCCCACCAAGGCGACGAUGGGUAGCCGGCCUGAGAGGGCGACCGGCCACACUGGAACUGAGACACGGUCCAGACUCCUACGGGGGGCAGCAGUAGGGAAUAUUCGGCAAUGGGCGAAAGCCUGACCGAGCGACGCCGCGUGAGGGAUGAAGGUCUUCGGAUUGUAAACCUCUGUCUAGGGGGACGAGUAAGGACGGUACCCCUGGAGGAAGCCCCGGCUAACUACGUGCCAGCAGCCGCGGUAAUACGUAGGGGGCGAGCGUUGUCCGGAAUCACUGGGCGUAAAGGGCGCGCAGGCGGCCAUGUAAGUCAGGUGUGAAAGGCCGAGGCUCAACUUCGGUUAGACGCCUGAUACUGCGUGGCUUGAGGGCAAGAGAGGGAAGUGGAAUUCCCGGUGUAGCGGUGAAAUGCGUAGAUAUCGGGAGGAACACCAGUGGCGAAGGCGGCUUCCUGGAUUGUACCUGACGCUCAUGCGCGAAAGCUGGGGGAGCGAACGGGAUUAGAUACCCCGGUAGUCCCAGCCGUAAACGAUGGAUGCUAGGUGUAGGAGGUAUCGACCCCUCCUGUGCCGCAGCUAACGCAUUAAGCAUCCCGCCUGGGGAGUACGGCCGCAAGGUUGA